rfam:Camelus ferus unplaced genomic scaffold scaffold1443, whole genome shotgun sequence.
GAGGGUAUAGCUCAAUGUGGUAGAGCACAUGCUUAGCAUGCACAAGGUCUUGGGUUCAAUCCCCAGUACCUCCU